AUUGAACGCUGGCGGCAUGCUUUACUCAUGCAAGUCGAACGGUAACAGGCCUUCGGGUGCUGACGAGUGGCGCACGGGUGAGUAAUGCAUCGGAACGUACCCAGAGGUGGGGGAUAACGCAGCGAAAGCUGUGCUAAUACCGCAUGUGAUCUGAGGAUGAAAGCGGGGGACCGAGCAGCAAUGUUUGGCCUCGCGCCUUUGGAGCGGCCGAUGUCGGAUUAGCUAGUUGGUGGGGUAAAGGCCUACCAAGGCGACGAUCCGUAGCUGGUCUGAGAGGACGACCAGCCACACUGGGACUGAGACACGGCCCAGACUCCUACGGGAGGCAGCAGUGGGGAAUUUUGGACAAUGGGCGCAAGCCUGAUCCAGCAAUGCCGCGUGCGGGAAGAAGGCCUUCGGGUUGUAAACCGCUUUUGGCAGGAACGAAACGGUGUCCGCUAAUACCGGGCGCUAAUGACGGUACCUGCAGAAUAAGCACCGGCUAACUACGUG
rnacentral:rRNA from 1 species